GAGUAUUUGUGGAGGGAAGUGGGAGGCACAGGCGGAGUGAUCUGUCCAGCGAGGGAGGAAGCAGAGGCCAGAGUCACGCGGACUGUGCGCUUCGAAGCGUGGAGCACAGUGCCAGUCGCAGUGGGGAAACGGGCGGCGUGACCAGGGCAGGAGUGAGGGAACACGGGGGGCUGUGUGAGCCCAGAGGAAGCACCUGAAGGCUGGGAGCAUCUGAAGGAAAGGAGGCAGCAGCCAGGUGAAAAGGGAGGAAGAGUUCUCGCCAGCAGAGUAGCGGGCGCAGGUCUCACAGAUUUCAAGCCUGGCUACUGGAUUGGUGUCCGCUAUGAUGAGCCACUGGGGAAAAAUGAUGGCAGUGUGAAUGGGAAACGCUACUUCGAAUGCCAGGCCAAGUAUGGCGCCUUUGUCAAGCCAGCAGUCGUGACGGUGGGGGACUUCCCGGAGGAGGACUACGGGUUGGACGAGAUAUGACACCUAAGGAAUUCCCCUGCUUCAGCUCCUAACUCAGCCACUGACCCUCCUGUGUGUGCCCAUGGCCCUUUUCUCUUGACCCCAGUUUAAUUUUAUUCAUUUUUUCCUUUGUCAUUGAUUUUUGAGACUCAUGCAUUAAAUUAACUAGAAACCCAGAAA
rnacentral:sRNA from 1 species